GUGCUUGCUUUGGUAGCACAUAUACUAAAACUGGAACAAUACAGAGAAGAUUAGCAUGGCCCCUGUGCAAGGAUGACAAGCAAAUUCAUGAAGCAUUCCAUAUUUUU
rnacentral:snRNA from 1 species